AGGCGACUGGAGGCAGAGACCAAGG
rnacentral:piRNA from 1 species